AUUGAACGCUGGCGGCAGGCCUAACACAUGCAAGUCGAGCGAGCGGCGGACGGGUGCGUAAUGUCUGGGAAACUGCCUGUUGGAGGGGGAUAACUACUGGAAACGGUUGCGAAUACCGCAUACCAUCAGAUGUGCGCAGAUGGGAUUAGCUGGAUGGUGGGGUAAUGGCUCACCUAGGCGACGAUCCCUAGCCGGUCUGAGAGGAUGACCAGCCACACUGGAACUGAGACACGGCCCAGACUCCUACGGGAGGCAGCAGUGGGGAAUAUUGGACAAUGGGCGAAAGCCUGAUGCAGCCAUGCCGCGUGAGUGAAGAAGGCCUUCGGGUUGUAAAGCACUUUCAGCAGGGAGGCGGUACCUACAGAGGAAGCAACGGCUAACUACGUGCCAGCAGCCGCGGUAAUAC
rnacentral:rRNA from 1 species